AUUACGUAUCCCUCUUCAUCUCUCUCUCUCUCUCUCUCUCUCUCUCUCUCUCUAGGGUGAAUCACUUCACCGCCUCGAUCAUCUGCACCUUCGAUUUUUGUAGCCACAAGGGUCGCCGUAGAAUCGACGCCCUUCCUUCCCCUAUUUUGCUUCAUUCUUCCUUCUCCUGUUUAGACCGAGCAACAAUGGCACUCACCAUGGAACCGACGAUUGUUGCUGCUCUCAGCGGUUAGGUUGCUGCCAGUGAUGAGGUCAAGGGAGUCAAGGAGGGAUCACUGGAAAUUGAUUGAUGCCCUCUUCACGACGUGCUAGCCUCAACUGAUCCCCCGUCAAUUUUGAUCGGUUUCUCCUAUUCGAUUGUGCCCUUUUUCUCAAUCUGCUGAAGAAGACAUGUCCUCUUUUUGUAUAAUUAGAGAUUGUGGCAAAGUCAAAGAUGAAUGGUCACUCUUAUCUUCAACCUGAUUGAAUCGGUCAACACUAAAUAUGCAUUUUACUGCAUCCACUUUCUUAGUUCAGUCACAAUCAUACCCAUGAAACCAUUAUUCACCGCUCACUGCCGUCUCCAUCGCCUCCAUCGCCGGUUGCUGCCGGAAUAUAAGCUUCUCCAGGUUAGUUUUUUCAUUUUUUUUUUUGUGCUUCCGAGAAACCAAUCACUACCACCAUCGGAUUAUUCUCUACUCACAUCGAUCUUGAACGAUAAGAGAAAAAAGUUAGAAACAAACCAUCGAUCUAUUGAGGAACAUAUGUAGCAAGGUAUAAAAUAUUAUGUGGUUAUUUUCCCUUUUCCCUUUUCGAUUUUGGGUUAUUUUGAAAAUAUUUUUUAAUUUAACGUCCUAUUGUCUGGAGGUGGGGUGGAAAAUGGUUCAAAAGAGAAGACCUUUAUGGACCAAAUAAAGGGCUAACCACAUUUGGGAUGGAUUGAAAAUAUGGCUGGAUUAUUAUCAAAAUUUUGAAACUUCAAAUUUACUUAAUUGUGCAAUUUGUAUGAGUUUUUUAUUCAUUUUCUUUAUAAACUGUUUCUGGAAUUUUUCUGCUGUAUAAAUCAAGAAUGAAUACAUAGCACAUGAUUGGUUUA